GGGGAUAUAGCUCAGUUGGUAGAGUACUUGCCUUUUAUGCUCAAGGCCCUGGGUUUAAUUCCCAGCACCA
rfam:Ictidomys tridecemlineatus contig030420, whole genome shotgun sequence.